GCGUUUUGUUUUAAUCUGUGUCAAAAAGGCGUUUACCAGAACGUAAUAGGUGUUUGCACAUAACGUAAUUGGUGUUUGCACAUAACGUAAUAGGUGUUUGCACAUAACGUAAUAGAUGUUUGACCAUAUUGUAAUAGGCAUUUCCACAAAGCGUUAUCGGUGUUUGCACAUCAUGUAAGCGGUAUUUGCACAUAACGUAAUAGUGCUUGCACAUAAUGAUGUAGUUGUUAUACAUAACUUAAUAGGUAUUUACGCAUAACGUAAUAGGUGUUUGCACAUGAGAUAAACUAUGUUUGCACAUAAGGUAAACGAUGUUUGCACAUAGGGGAACGAUGUAUGCACAUAAGGUAAACGAGGUUUGCACAAAACGUUUAAGUUGUUUGCACAUAAUGUAAAAGGCAUUUGCACAUGACGUAAUGAAUGCUCACAGAGAGUAUCAAUUGUUCGGCAAAACGCAUAGGAACUAUACCAUGAUGUGUUGUGUUUGUCACUGGAGAUACAUAUGUAUUAACACAACAUAAUGCCAAAAGACUAUAAUAUCAUGAGGUUAACAUAGAACAAAGGUGUAUCAAAACAAAAC
rnacentral:lncRNA from 1 species